UAAUCUGACUCGUUGCAUAAAAAACUUACCCUUGGCAAAGCAAAUAAAUCCUAUCAGGAGGUUUUGUAUUUCCUCAAUGCUCAAAUAGUUUUUUGGCCGUAAAUAAUUGAAAACAUCGUUAAAACUUCACUGCUUGAUUUAUUACGCUCUAAAUGCAUUAGGAAAUUCCAAUUGGCUUUGCAAAAGUGAUCAAAGCAAAAUGGAAAUACGGUUUUCUUCGGUUUACUUUCCGGAUGCCUUGUUAGUUGCUCUCUACUUUGCUUUGUUAAUUAACACACUUCUCCCCAUCGGCCAUGAACCACACCCCCACCCCACUCUCCGCCCACCGCACAUGCAACUCAUAAAUAACGGUACGUUUUCCUUAUUUUCUUGGUGGUGGAAAAUGCCUCCAAACGAAACGGAAAAUCCACGCAGACGUCUAAAGUUUCUGCUUUUCUUUCUUACUUUUAUUUAAGUGUGCAACUCUUUCGUCUGGCACCUCGGCAUCACUGCUCUUCUUUUUCUUUCAUUGACUGCACACAAUUUUUCCGCAGUUGCUUCCUGGUCUUCUCUUUCUUUUCUUUUAUUUUCUCGUCUCGUCUUUGUGAUUGUGUCAACUUUCUUUCUCCUGCAAAGUGAGGUUCUUUCGCCGAGGUCGCUUUUGUUGCGAUUCAAAAAUAAACAGAAACUGCAGGGGCGAUAGCGUUGCCAGAUGUUUGUUGCAAGGCAUUGCCAUAUCGGAUUGCAUAAUCCGAGAUUGCUUUGCUUUGUGGUGUGUCAACCCUGUCCGCUGCAUUCUAUUGCAGAAAUAAAUACAAAUAAUGAGUAAUUGAAGACAAACAGCGAGGAGAAACCCAGACAAUGGAGGCUGGGAAAGAGGCGACUGCCCCGAAACCCAAAUCCUAAAAAAACGCGAUCGGAUCCGCAGUCAAUGGAACUUCCAACUGGCAACUGGGGGCCACUGAAAGAAGGCGGCACGCGCCACAGGCGUCUGUAAUUGAUUAUCUUUGAUACAGCGGGCACUCGAUCUGUGAACCCAAAACCAAUAGCAUUACAUCACUCUCCCAUAUUUAAUUUGCUUGCAUAAAUACAAUAUGUAUAUAUUCCCAUCUAAACUCGUACACUACACAUAGGAAGUAUUGUACAGACGAUAAAGCAAACACUUUUAUUUUUUUUUUUCGCUUGCCUUUGGAUACUUGAUUAUAAAUGUUUGACGAUGAAUGAAUAUAUACAUACGUAACCAAAUACAAUAAUAUAAAGCAGAAAUAGUGGGUGCGGGCUGAAUCGUGUCUGUUAGUGUCUGCCAGUUGAUCAGCAUUAUUGAGCACAUGGCUCAGAUUCGUAUUUGGUAGUCAGAGUGUGCUGGUGGGGUCUUUCCAGAACUGAAACAGCAAUGGCCAUUAAAAUGUUCUUUUUCCUGCAGAGAUUGAGUAUUUUUUGAGCUUGAAUUUUUUGUAUUUUGCGCUAUCAUUUCUUGUUUGCCAAACGAUAUCUCUCUUAUGUCUUUGCAUUGAAGUUGGCAUUGAAUUGUUUUACGUCUGAAUGGCCAAGAAACAAAAGUAUACCAUAAAAAAGUGAAAUCUAUGGGUGGUUAGCAAUGUCUGUUUUUGCUUUAAUCGUUGAUUUUGGUUUUUGUUUCUGUCCGCUUUUGUUUCGUUUUUACAAUUAUUUUCGGCUAUUUCACGAUAACUUUUUCUCCCAAAAAGUCUCGAACUCCCUCGGUUUUUGGAGCAUGUUGCAAAGGUGUGCAAUUAUAGUCUGUUGCGUCGUCAGCACGAAAGCGGCCAUUAACACAAUAAACUCUGGCAGUCUGACUUGUGGCUUACAACAAAAAAUAUCCACAAAACAAUUAAACAUGAGCUGGCAAAAUGGAAAUUACAACAACAAAAGCCGUUUAACAAUUGAGCCUAAGAAAGUCAUGACUGGACGAGAGUCAACUAGCUGAUUGAAAUGAGGGAACAAGGGGAAAACUUAUAUCUUCAGGGCCUCCUCUCCAGCUUUAUGAAAUUCACUUAUUUACGCUUUCUUAACUCGAAUAAGAAACAAGAGCGGAGAGUAAAAACUUUUCUGACAAAAGUGAAGGAAGUUAAGUGCCAGAGAAGUAAGCCCUGUUGUUAAUGGCAAGAUAUUAUAAUGCUCGUUUCUGUUUCAAUGGUGCGGAUACAGUGCGUUUCGCAAUCCUAACCACCUUAUGAAACGAGAAAAUAAUAAUAAAGAAAAUAAUUACGAUAAAUAGAAAGAUAAACACCAAAGAAACCUGUUCAGGAGAGCUAUUAUUACCCAAAAUGGUGCGGGCACUUGGUUCGUGUUGGUUUGUAACUCUAUUUGUAUUCUGGUAAAUUUAAAUGGGUAAAAUUUUAAUUUUCUUUAAUUACCUUACCUUUUCUGAACUCAUACUUAAUAAUACUUAAAUGUAACAAAAGUUAUUAAAAAUGCUACUCAAAUAACAAAUAACAACAUUUAUCAAGUUUACUUUUUCAAUACUCCUUAUUUAAUGCUAUCUUUACCAUAUUUGUUAACACACAUUAACAUUAACUGUUCUGAAAUCCACUGCACAAUAUUACACGUUUUAUACAAAUAAAGUGAGUGCUUUAAGCUCAUUUUCACCAUCUGCGCCAUGAAUGGACCCCAUGCGUAUACGACCCGUUGAACAACUCCACUACGAUUACAGAUUUAAUGCAAUGCAACAAUGUGUCUGUAACUCUUUACUUGUGUUUGUAACUGAAUCUCUGUUUGCCUGAGUGAAUGUCUGCCUGUUGCUCGUGCCAACAACAACAUCAUCAACAACAACAACAACAACUACAACAACAAAAAUAAUAGCAACCUGUUUCUUUCGGUGCAUUUAAUUUGGGCCAUAUUGACAUGUGCCGCCACUGCCGACUUUGCUGCCGGCGUCACCGUUAACGACUUCUGCUUCUGCUCGCCGCUGGCCCCAAUUCGAUGUUCUAGUCUAGUAAAGCAAAGGCCGCCGAGGUGGGCCACAAAUGUCGACUGUUGACUGCCAGUCAACAUUACGAAAGUCUUGAUAAACAGCAUUCUGAUGCAAGUCGCUUGAAAGCGACUCCACGAUACCGAACUGUAAGACAGACAUUUGUCAUUUCUAAUCGCUAUUCAAAUUUUGAAUUAACAUUUUGAUGGUUGGUGGUUAAAAUCUGUUGGCAUUUUUGCCCUAGAUUGAAUAAGAUUAUUAUAUUUGUUGUCAAAGCAAGGUAUGUAUCAUCAAGUUUGCAGCUUAUUUAAGAUACUUUAAUCAGCUUUCUGUUAAAAGAUACUCAAAAUCGAUUCUAAUUUACUGCCCGCUAGGCAGGCAUUAGUCAUUUCUGGAACCUGGAAUCAGUAGAGCAUUUGACAAACAUUUGACAUUAAUACUAAUAAUAACUAUUGCAAUUUAAUGGGAAUCAUCAGCUUCACAGCUCUAAGAUUAAUUAAAGACAUUUAACACUAAUGUUUUCCACAUCAGUCUCUAUAAACAUCAUUCUGAUGGCAUUCAACUG